GACGAACGCUGGCGGCGUGCUUAACACAUGCAAGUCGAACGGAAAGGCCCUGCUUUUGUGGGGUGCUCGAGUGGCGAACGGGUGAGUAACACGUGAGUAACCUGCCCUUGACUUUGGGAUAACUUCAGGAAACUGGGGCUAAUACCGGAUAGGAGCUCCUGCUGCAUGGUGGGGGUUGGAAAGUUUCGGCGGUUGGGGAUGGACUCGCGGCUUAUCAGCUUGUUGGUGGGGUAGUGGCUUACCAAGGCUUUGACGGGUAGCCGGCCUGAGAGGGUGACCGGCCACAUUGGGACUGAGAUACGGCCCAGACUCCUACGGGGGGCAGCAGUGGGGAAUAUUGCACAAUGGGCGGAAGCCUGAUGCAGCAACGCCGCGUGCGGGAUGAGGGCCUUCGGGUUGUAAACCGCUUUCGCCUGUGACGAAGCGUGAGUGGCGGUAAUGGGUAAAGAAGCACCGGCUAACUACGUG
rnacentral:rRNA from 1 species